rnacentral:lncRNA from 1 species
CCCCCCCCCUUUUUACCCCCAUACUUUGACCCCCAUCCCACUCAAGACCGCUCCCCAUUUAAGAUCCCCCCCAUUUAAAGAUCCCGCUCCCAUUCAAGGACACCCCCCCCCCAUAUUCAAGACCCCCCCCCUCAAGACCCCCCCCCCAGUUCAAGAACCCCACCCAAUUCAAGACCCCCCCCAUAAUUCAAGACCCCCCCAAUUCAAGACACGCCCCCCACAAUUCAAGGCCCCCCCCCCAAUUCAAGGCCCCCCCCCAUAUUCCAGACACCCCCCCAGUUCAAGACCCCCCCCCCUACUUCAAGACCCCCCCCAUAUUCAAGACCCCCCCGCCUAAUUUCAGACCCCCCCCCCUCCACUCGUGCAAUGGAGGAAGGGGGGUUGGGGGGGGGGGGUUGUGCCAAUGGAUAAAGCAGCGUGCAGGAUAUUGGGGGGGGCUCUUGUUGCAACAGGAUUGGGGGGGGGGGGAAAGGGAACAGAUCCUCGUGCAAUGGAUCCUUGUGCAAUGGAUCCUUGUGCAAGGGAUUCUCAAGCACCAGGACUUGGGGGGGAGCAGCAGAUCCUCAUGCAAGGGAUGAGUGUGCAAGAGAUCGUCGUGCAAGGGAUGAGUGUGCAAGGGAUCCUCAAGCACUAGGACUUGGAGGGGGGGGAAACAGCAGAUCCUCGUGCAAGGGAUCCUUGUGCAAGAGAUCGUAGUGCAAGGGAUAAUCGUGCAAGGGAUUCUCAAGCACUAGGACUUGGAGGGGGGGGGGAAGGAGCAGCAGAUCCUCGUGCAAGGGAUGAGUGUGCAAGAGAUCAUCGUGCGAGGGAUCGUCGUGCAAGGGAUCAUCGUGCAAGGGAUUCUCAAGCACCAGGACUUGGAAUGGGGGGGGGACUUGUGCAACACAUCCACGUGCAACCCACCGUCAUGCAAAGCAUCCACGUGCAAAGAUCCUCGUGCAAAGAACCUUCGUGCAAAAGGCACAAGUCCUCGUGCAAAAGCAAGUCCUCGUGCAAAGGAUUCGUCGUGCAAAGAACCCUCGUGCAAAAGGCACGUCCUCAUGCAAAGGCAAGUCCUCGUGCAAAGGAUUCAUUGUGCAAAGAACCCUCGUGCAAAGGGUUUAUUAGUGCAAAGGAUUCCUCGUGCAAAAGUGCAUCACCACCUCAUGCAUCACCUCCAUGUGCACAAGGACUGGGGGGGGGUCGUGCAACAGCCCCUCGUGCAAAGGACCCUCGUGCAACAGGACUCCCAGCAUCCACAUCAGCUCCUCGUGCAUCAACCCCUCGUGCAACGGGCCCUGGUGCAAAAUGGGGUCACCUCCUCGUGCAUCACACCCUCGUGCAACAGCUCCUCGUGCACAACUGGACUGGGUAAGACCUCGUGCAACACCAUCAAGUCCUCGUGCAACACCAGCUCCUCGUGCACAACAGGACUCGCGUGAGGCCUCGUGCAACAGCUGCUCGUGCAAUGGGAUGAGAGCGAUGCUCGUGCAACAACUCCUCGUGCAACACCACCACCAUCAUCUCCAUGAGCUGGGGACAGCCCCUCGUGCAACACCAUCAAGUCCUCGUGCAACAUCAGCUCCUCCUCGUGCAACACCAGCCCCUCGUGCAACACCAGGACCUGAAUCCCACCCACCCCCCAUGAUCCCAUUUGAUCCCAUUUGCACUUGGGGGGGGGGGGGGGAUCCUCGUGCGUUGGCACCACGCGCUUUGAAGGGUGGGCGGGGGUUG